UAAGGGAGCUGAGGUAUUUCUAAGCAUUACCGUAUGAAAGCACACCUGGGGCAGGAGCGAGACUUUCAAAGAUGACUGCACAUUAGAAUCACCUGGGAACUUUUAAAAAGCACUAAUAUUCAGGCCUCACAUUAUACCAAUUAAAUCAGAAUCUUUCCUGGGGGCUAGGAGUAGACACAUAUAACAUUUUUAAAGUUCUCCAAGUGAUUUUCAACAUGCAACCAGAGUUGAGAACUAUUGGCGAUAUUUCUCAAACUUAAGUGUACAUAAGAAUCACCUGGGAAUCUUGUUAAACUGUAGAUUUUAAUUCUAGAGUUCUGUGAUUCUGCAUUUCUAAGGAGCUUCAGGUUGAUGAUUACGCUGGUCAUCUGCAGGCUGCACUUAACGUUGCAAAGAUGGCUGCUCCCCCUUUGCCUUCUACCAUGAUUGGAAGCUUCCUGAGGCCUCCCCAGAAGCAGAAGCCACUAUACUUCCU
rnacentral:lncRNA from 1 species